CCUACUUCCGGUGCCUAAUUAAUUCCUCCCUACUUUUGCGACAUGAUGCAUUGGAUGGUUUCGCAGUUGGCAAGUCAAUCGAAGCCGACCUAGCCAACCGGAAAUUUUGUGAAAAUCGAAGACUGAUUGCUGUAAAUAAACUCACCCAGUAGACAUAUUCACCUCUCUCUCCCAUUCCCAGGUAAGACAGACGACAUUACCUACGAAUUCUGUUGAAAAGUGACGAAUUGUG